AGGGUCCUUCCACGCACAGCCCUGUCCUCUCCCACCUGUCCCCAGCACUGUCACACUGCCUGCCUGUGCUGUUCCCAAGCGGUGACUAGAUGUGGCCUUCACCUCCUCGCAUCUCUCCGGUCUGGAAAUGGACCCUGAAGUCACUAAGAGCCGGCAGAUACAUUCUGCCUUCACCAGGCCUUCCCCGGAGAACUGCACCGUGCGUUUCCUCCAGUGUGAUGGACUCGGAGGUCCCACACACCUCCACUCCCAAGGAUGCAGCACGACUAACUGGGUCCCAUAGCUGUAAACUCCACAUGCCAAUGCUUCACACCCAAACCUAGCCCACGGGCAGGGGACCUCACGGACACCGCCCAGCAGGACUGCAUACAUAACCCUGGCCUUAGACCUCAAUGUGCCCCUCUCCUGAAUGCCUGCCCUGCUGAAGACAAAUUUUCUGGUUUGGAAAAGAGGACAAAGAAAGUCAGACAUUUGAAAAACUUCUCAGCAAGCCAAAUUUUGCUUUCGCAGAAGUGUGUACCAUUGGACAAAGGUCAGCAAAGGGCAGACUCACUGAAUUCGCCUUUCCCCCACAUUGUACCCCUGAAGGAUGCAGUUGUCCCCGUGACCUGCACCAUUGGUGGGGGUAUGGCCUCACAACCCAACCCAAAUGACUAGUUCAAUGAGGUCACGGUUGCUAGGCAAAGUAAAUCUUGUAAUCUGGAAAGACUUCCCUUACGAAAUUUCAUGGCAGGUGGGCAGAUGGCCCUUUGUUUCAAGUUUCCAAGGAAUGAUGACACAAGCACCUGUCCAUUUUACAAAAGUAGGAUUCCUACAAAGUAGAAUUAUUUUGAUUAUUUCCUUUGGCAGAAAAGACUACCUUUUUCCACAUUUCCUGAGUUCCACUGCAUUUCCUGAGUGUGUACUUCUUUAACUCUUGCUAAUAAAUCUGUCUGUACCUCUCA